UGCACUAAAGUUAAACCAUGUUGUAGGAGACAGAUGUUCUGGGUUGUGUUGACUGAAAGGCACCAUUUCUUUGGAUGAUAAGGGAUAGCAAAAUCACAGUUUCUUAACAAGCAUGAUUGGUUGUUAGUCAGUAAUGAAAGUGAAAUGACUCAACGAAUUUGGAUAACAGAAACAUUGUCUUCUGCUCUACUCGAGCUUGAGGAAAAUAAAGACAGCAGCAGGCCCACCCCCCUGAUAGCGGGGUUGGGCCCUCUUAGGCAUAUAGGAAUACCUUAUAUUCAUUUGACGAUUUGAUUUUGAUUUCAGGCUGCACAAUACAAUGGAACACGUAUUUGCACCUGUAUCCUUGCUCCUAAUGGGUUACCUGCUGCUAGCAGUCGGCAUUCCUGGUUUUCGUGUCCUGUACGAGGUAACUAAGACACACUUGCAAGUCUGCUUAUUGUUAUUUUUUUUUGUAGCACAACUAGAAAUAUUGAAGCAUUCCGAUAAAGCUGAGAUGCAGAAGAAUGCAGGGAACAAGAAAACGGAAGUUACCAUGCAAUACAAUAGCGAUUCCGUUUCCUGCUUCCCUGCAUUCUUCUGCAUUUCAGUUUCAGCUUUACCGAAAUGCUUUAUUUGCUGAGCGAUUAGCGAAGCCUUUUAGGCCUACUCCAGUGAUGAUAUAUCGCCGCCGCCGCCGCGCCGCCGCCGACAAUUUCACCGGCGGCGUCAUCGGCGGCGCGGCCAAUCGUAUUGACAUAUUCAUCCCCGAAGAGCGCCUGACAGGCAAGCUGAAGCUGAAACAGAAAAAGUUAAGUCGGUCACUGUUGGAGGUGAGGUGCAGGCUGAUCUCUCGAACAUGGUAGCAGUGAUAGGGUUUGAGCUAGAAAUCAAGGUUCGUGACCUCUCUACACUCCAACCCGAACAGUGGUUGAACGAUGUGGUGGAUAUAUUUUCAUUUCGUACACUUAUGGUACCAAUUUGCCAAUCGGACCACUGGACCCUGAUUGUUGUGGACAUGCCUAGCAAGACCAUGUCUUACUUUGACAGCAUGAAUGGCAAUGGCAUUCCUGAGUGCAUGCAUGUUGUAUUGAAUUAUCUUCGGGACGAGCUCCUAGCCAAAAAGCAGCAAAUAUUAGAGAUUAAUAAAUGGAGUUUGGAGCGUAAGAAGGACAUCCCAUGUCAAACUCACUUUGUUGACUGUGGCGUUUUCUUGCUGAAACAUGCACUUUGCAUUGCACUCGGAGAACCUUUCAAUUUCACCCAGACAUCCCUGAGUUCAGAAAACAAGUCCACCGUCAAAUCGUCUCCAAGAACUUGUUCGCUGUGUGAUGUUAUUGUCAAAGAGAACGUCCGACGGCGACACUCGGAACUACCUAUGUUAUAGUCUCGUGCGAGUUUGUUUUUGUUUUUUUAAUUUUGCAUGUCUGACCUUUUGAGAAAGGGCCGGCAGGCUUCUCUGGUCUAAGAAGGAAGCAGGGAAACCGAAAUAUCUGUUCUGUGUUCAUCCAAGUAACAAAAAUGGAAGCCCAGACUCCACCCCUGAUACAUGAGGUGAGAAAGCACCCUGUCUUGUGGGAUCGUACCCAUAGUAAAUACAAAAAACCUCAGGCCAGGGACUGUGCCUGGAAAACAGU